GCAAGUCGAGCGAGAAAUCACUUCGGUGAGAGUACAGCGGCGGACGGGUGAGUAACGCGUAGGAAUCUACCUGGUAGUGGGGGACAACAUGUGGAAACGCAUGCUAAUACCGCAUACGACCUAAGGGUGAAAGCGGGGGACCUUCGGGCCUCGCGCUAUCGGAUGAGCCUGCGUAAGAUUAGCUUGUUGGUGAGGUAAAGGCUCACCAAGGCGACGAUCAGUAUCUGGUUUGAGAGGACGAUC
rnacentral:rRNA from 1 species